rnacentral:rRNA from 1 species
ACUUAAAUUGAAGAGUUUGAUCAUGGCUCAGAUUGAACGCUGGCGGCAGGCCUAACACAUGCAAGUCGAGCGGUAGCACAGAGAGCUUGCUCUCGGGUGACGAGCGGCGGACGGGUGAGUAAUGUCUGGGAAACUGCCUGAUGGAGGGGGAUAACUACUGGAAACGGUAGCUAAUACCGCAUAAUGUCGCAAGACCAAAGUGGGGGACCUUCGGGCCUCAUGCCAUCAGAUGUGCCCAGAUGGGAUUAGCUAGUAGGUGGGGUAACGGCUCACCUAGGCGACGAUCCCUAGCU